rnacentral:lncRNA from 1 species
GAUGAACCCAUGUCUUUUCCAUAACCAUUAUAUGUGCUUACCCAUAAAGAAAACAAAACAAACACAUAAGUAUAACACAAACACCAAACAAAUACCAAACAAACAACAAACACAUUCACAGCAACAGUUUAUUAAAACGAAAUAUCAAACAGCCAAUUCAGUCAACUCUUAAACAAAUCAAUCAAAUAUCAAGUUCAUUG